GUUGUUUUUAUCCCUUGAUAGUUGUUUUUAUCCCUUGAUACUUUUCUCAUUGGGUUCAAAAAAUGUGCAUGCCCUGUAGCAAUCACGAAAACCCAAUUUGGCAUCAAAGCUAAAGAUAUUUAAUUUCCUAAGUGAAACAAUAUCUAGUAUAAUUCACUCCCUUCAUAAGGAAAGAAAACAAGGGAGAAAAAUAGGAAAUGAGUUUAUAGUGUCUUUUAACUUCUCUACCUACUCAUCUGGUACCUUUGUAUGCAUAUCAGGCUCUGAACUUUGCAUUCAAA
rnacentral:misc_RNA from 1 species